GACAGAGGUGCCAAGCGUUAGGCGGAAUCACUGGGCUUAAAGCGUGUGUAGGCGGUCUUUUAAGUCGGGGGUGAAAUCCCGAGGCUCAACCUCGGAACUGCCUCGAUACUGGCGAUCUUGAGUCCGGGAGAGGUGAGUGGAACUCCGAGUGUAGAGGUGAAAUUCGUAGAUAUCGGAAGAACACCAGUGGCGAAGGCGGCUCACUGGCCCGGUACUGACGCUGACGAUACGAAA
rnacentral:rRNA from 1 species